GAUAGGGACUCUCCGAAAAAAUUACGCUGUUAUCCCUGAGGUAAGUUAAUCUUAUAAUCAAAAAUUCUGGAUCAAAAAAAACAUAAAUUAAUGAAAAAAAUAUUAAAAGUUAAAUAAAUUUUAAUGUCACCCCAACAAAACUUUAUAUUCUAAAAAAUUGUAUAAUAAACAAAAAACAAUAAUUAAUAAAUAAAGUAAACUUCUACAGGGUCUUCUCGUCCUAUAGGAAAAUUUUAGCUUUUUAACUAAAAAAUUAAAUUCAAAAUAAUUAAAAAAAGAAAGACUAUUUUUCAUUAGACCAUUCAUUCUAGCCUUCAAUUAAAAGACAAAUGAUUAUGCUACCUUCGUACAGUUAAAAUACCGCAGCCUUUUAAUUAGAUAAAUCAAUGGGCAGGCCUGAUCUUAAAUUAAAAUCAAAAGACC
rnacentral:rRNA from 1 species